rnacentral:misc_RNA from 1 species
AUUCCUUUCCAAAAUUUCUAGUUAUCGACACGGAAUCAGAUAUUGAUGGUGAAUUCGACCGAAAUGCUGACAGAAUUUUUUAUUAUUGCAUCGUUUCAACUAAUGCUUAUAGCUGAAGCUUCGGUGAAGUCGCCAUGUUCGUCUACAUUUACCCUGAAUUCCUUCGUGCUUAAGAAUCACGUGGUUCAAGAGUUUCAAUCACAGACCCGAAGCUAUUGCGAGAAGAAAUGUGCAUCGCAUAAUGAAUGCUACAGCAUUAACUUCUACCCUAAACAUCACAAGUGCGAACUCAGCAAAGAAAACCACUUUACAAGUCCCAUUGACCUUACCCAUGAUUCAGAUGGAGUGUACAGUCACGUGAUCAACCAUCAACGUCCAAUGAACGCUUGUAGUGACCAAUACUGCAGUACGAACCAUGCUUGCUUGGCAAAGGAUGAUGGGAAGGACUACGAAUGCAAAGUUUGCACCACGCCACUCGGUAUGCAAUCAAAUGCAAUUCCCAACUCAGCAAUCAAUGCAUCCUCCACGGCAUCAAAUUCACAUGCCAGCGGGAAUGCUCGUCUCCAUAAAAAGGAAUCGAUAAACCCUGACGGAAGUCGAAAUCAUGGAGCAUGGUGUCCUGCAGUCANACAAGCUGGUGAAUACUUACAGAUNGAUAUGGGUCGACCUGUGAUGUUAAAGCAAGUUGCAACCCAAGGAAGGCCCUCUUCCAGUUAUGNUCACUAUGUCAAGAAAUAUCGUUUGUCCUACAAGCGGUUGGAAACACAGUGGAUGGACUAUCGUGAAAAUGGAAUUAUUAAGGUAUUUGAUGGGAAUACCGACAGCAACACUGUUGUCACCAAUACGCUUAAAGAAAAGGUUGUGGCCCAACUCGUCAGGAUCAUUGGUAUGGAAUGGNACCGGUUUAUUUGCUUGAGAGUAGAAAUCUACGGUUGCUGACUGGAAUAUAAUGCCUUCUAUGCACAUUAGAUUANUGAAAGUUUAAGCAUUACCUUUACGGCCAACGUCUGACGGCAUAGCUAAACGAAUGACUUGAGAAUUUCGUGCCUGGCCCUGAGCUUUUGGUAGUUAUUUGAAAGAGCGACUUUUCANGAUUAUGGCAACCCAAAAUAACCCACUCUCGCGUUGAAACUGUAACGGUAAACCCCAAAAAAGCAGAUUACAUGAUCUUUUCUGCCGUUUGCCAUGAAAGUCAUGCUUUUAAGCAAAAAAAAAAGCUCUCUUAUUCCACUUAUUCACUCGAAACGUCAGUCCACCAUAGAAAUUGUGAGAAAGUUAAAGAAAAUUUAGUGUUUUGAGUGAUAAAAAAAGAAUGAACAAAAAAUCAAAAAAUCUUAUGAAGUGUUUGGAUAUAUCUUGUAUAUAUGACUUUGUUGCACAGGGCUUUUGGAUCUUCUGUUGUGUAAAAAGAAAUGGAUUAUCGUCCGAAUUGUCAGUAGACCUCUUAGCAAGUUGUUUCACCUAGUUUUCAGGGUCCGUGCAGAGUAUCAAAACCGAAAUUUAAGGAAUUUGUAUUUUCAAGGAAAAUUAUAAAUAUGCUAAUUGUACAUAUUUAUACCUCACAACUUCAGCCGAACGGAAUAAUUCAGAGAACGCUAGCACUUCGUGAUGGAGAUUUAUCUUUUUCAAGGAGUUUUCAAGGACGUUUUCGAAAUUUUCAAGGAGUUUCAAGUGCCCUUGAAAACGAGUUUUCUGUCCAAGUAAUUUUAAAGGAUUUUUUCCUUAAAAGGACCUGCACGGACCCUGAUUUUUUACGGUGUUUUAAAAAUUUGUCUUUUUUCAGCACUUUUUCUUUGGAAACACCGACGCAGCUCACACUAGUUUACCGCUCGUUUCCACAGUUUUGGAUCAUUGUUUCCAUUUUUCGAGAGGUUUGAAUGCCUUGAUGUGCAGUUCCAGAAUCCCUUGCAUGCCAACUGCAUUACAAUAAUGAAUGAUAAAGUUAAUGAAUACGAUAAAAAAUUGGCAGAUUUUCUUAAACACACAUCCAGGAAAACUUAAAGAGUCUUCCGUAUGACUGAAACAAUCGAAACAAAAAUACCAAUAAAGANUCAUCAUUCAUUACAAUAUAUAGUGCAGNGCUCAACCAUUGCUCGUUUUCAAUCAUUCUCAUGAGGUUANAAAUAUAAAANACCGGCGGCCAUGUUGGUUGAAUAUAUAUAUUUAGCGUAUAUUGCGAUUGCGUGCAUAUACUCUAAUGACACUCGCCUUCGGCUCGAAUUUUUAUACCUGANAGUGCACUCUCUCAGGUGUUUUAAAGUGAAANUGAACACUUCUAGAAAGUCAUUUCAUUCGAAAGAGAANAUUCUGCUAAGCACUUCUGCAAAGGGAAAAAACAUUCAAAUUUAUAUCUUCUGAUUUAGAAAUAUUUGAAAAUCGUGAGGCACGUCUACUAAGGAAUGAUUCAAUAUGCAAAAUCACGAAAAAAAGACAUUACUCGUUUUUUAUAUCGGAGAUGCCAUCGACAUUUCGACAUUUCCAGCUCUUGAAUAUCACUGUUAUUGAUGAUUUGACCGUUUCAACCGAACACAAGAUAUCGCAAACAAUGAAAAACCUCCAGCNCAAUCCCUUGAUUGACGUCACUUCAUUAGCAUUUUCAAUUUUCAAAUGCCNUUAACUCAGCAAAUAGAAUUCAAACAACUUUUUUUUCUUCAAGACAAUGAUUAGCAUCAAAUUUGCCUUUUUUUAAAAUGAUUUUCUAAAAGGGUUCAGUUAUCUUUAAACUAUAUUUGCAAUACAUAUCAAAACAUUUGUGAAUGAAACCUUUUGUCCUAAAGUGUUCCGACUGAGUCUCAGCAAUAUUUGGCUUAAGCGCAGUCCAGGUGUUUAUAGCAAUUAAGGCCGGCAUUAGCUCUAACGCGCGAGAGAGAUUUUAUUUCCUCUUGACUUCUAAAGCUUUUCAAGAUGAAAUAAGCCUCUAAAGGAUGAAGAAGCAUUGCAUGUGAUAAAUGUCCUAUAAUGCGAUGAUUAAAGUAGUAACAUUAAAAUUAAAAUUAUAAAAAAUGCAUAAUUUUUCUGGCUUUGUUGUGAAUCCUGGUGCUCUUAGUACAAUUAAUUAAAAGCAUUACCAUUAUCUUUCAUAAGUUACCAUAGUAAAACAAGUGGAUGUCGAUUUUCUCACAAGAUACGAGUUUGUUCGCAUCUUUGACAUCUUGAAGAUUUAAUCUGAAGCUAUUGACCCAGAAUCAGAAAUUGAUGCUGAAUUCGCCCNAAAUGCUGAUAGAAAUNUUGAUUAUUGCGGNGUUUCAACUGAUGCUUAAAGCNGAAGCUUCUGUACAAUCGCCAUGUUCGUCUACAUUUNCCCAGAAUUCCUUCGUGCUUAAAAAUCACGUGAUUCAAGAGCUGCAAUCACAGACCCNAAGCUAUUGCGAGNAGAAAUGUGCAUCGCAUAAUGAAUGCUNCAGUAUNAAUUUCUACC